AGAACCUGAAACCGUGUACGUACAAGCAGUGGGAGCACCCUUCGGGGUGUGACUGCGUACCUUUUGUAUAAUGGGUCAGCGACUUAUAUUCUGUAGCAAGGUUAACCGAAUAGGGGAGCCGGAGGGAAACCGAGUCUUAAUUGGGCGUUAAGUUGCAGGGUAUAGACCCGAAACCCGGUGAUCUAGCCAUGGGCAGGUUGAAGGUUGGGUAACACUAACUGGAGGACCGAACCGACUAAUGUUGAAAAAUUAGCGGAUGACCUGUGGCUGGGGGUGAAAGGCCAAUCAAACCGGGAGAUAGCUGGUUCUCCCCGAAAGCUAUUUAGGUAGCGCCUCGUGAAUUCAUCUCCGGGGGUAGAGCACUGUUUCGGCUAGGGGGCCAUCCCGGCUUACCAACCCGAUGCAAACUGCGAAUACCGGAGAAUGUUAUCACGGGAGACACACGGCGGGUGCUAACGUCCGUCGUGAAGAGGGAAACAACCCAGACCGCCAGCUAAGGUCCCAAAGUCAUGGUUAAGUGGGAAACGAUGUGGGAAGGCCCAGACAGCCAGGAUGUUGGCUUAGAAGCAGCCAUCAUUUAAAGAAAGCGUAAUAGCUCACUGGUCGAGUCGGCCUGCGCGGAAGAUGUAACGGGGCUAAACCAUGCACCGAAG
rnacentral:rRNA from 1 species